rnacentral:lncRNA from 1 species
CCCUGCUCUUUUCUUCCUAUUCUCUCUUCUACUUUUUGUGGGUGUGUGUGUGGGUGUGUCUGUUUUCUUGGACAGGUGCCUUAUUUUUCCGGCGAGGAUUUCCGGCAAGCUACAGUACUUCGGCGACUACACGUUCAGACUUUCGGCAGGACGCAACAGAACUACACGUUCCGAUAAGCUUCAGGAAAACUUGCAAUAGGUACUAGUCGCGGCGGCGAGGCCACUUCGCGGCGUUUGGC